CAAGCCACUUCCUUUCUUUUCACGACCCCACUCAAGCUCAAACUGUGAGCGUGGUCUUCGCUAUAUGUCUUCAUUAAGGUUAAUAAAGGCUUUCCAGGACGAUGGCGCUUGGCUUCCACGAUGCUUGCUGAGCUGCUGAGCAAACCACAACAUGGUAAACGCAGUGGCUGAGGGAAGGAUGAAGACAAUCCGCCAGUGUCAAAGCACACAGAUUGAGACAUUAGGAGUGACAUUCCCUUCAUGCAUUCGCUUGUGGUAGCUGCUCCACUUUUCUAAUCCUGAUCUAAUUAAAGACCUCAUCCUCGCCACCUCGUUUUCAAAAGUCGCUCCCUUCAAUUACCGAUGACAAGUGAGCGCCCGACACACACAUUAACCUCCUACGUGAAGAGCUACUUUGGCUGCCCACAUCUCUCCCUUGUGAUAACACAAAGCCAGCCCUUUCAGAAGGCAGUUCCCAGAGUA